rnacentral:rRNA from 1 species
GAUGAACGCUGGCGGCGUGCCUAAUACAUGCAAGUCGAGCGAACAGAUGAGGAGCUUGCUCCUCUGACGUUAGCGGCGGACGGGUGAGUAACUCGUGGAUAACCUACCUAUAAGACUGGGAUAACUUCGGGAAACCGGAGCUAAUACCGGAUAAUAUAUUGAACCGCAUGGUUCAAUAGUGAAAGACGGUUUUGCUGUCACUUAUAGAUGGAUCCGCGCCGCAUUAGCUAGUUGGUAAGGUAACGGCUUACCAAGGCAACGAUGCGUAGCCGACCUGAGAGGGUGAUCGGCCACACUGGAACUGAGACACGGUCCAGACUCCUACGGGAGGCAGCAGUAGGGAAUCUUCCGCAAUGGGCGAAAGCCUGACGGAGCAACGCCGCGUGAGUGAUGAAGGUCUUCGGAUCGUAAAACUCUGUUAUUAGGGAAGAACAAAUGUGUAAGUAACUAUGCACGUCUUGACGGUACCUAAUCAGAAAGCCACGGCUAACUACGUG